AAUCGGCGGAAAUUUGUCUUUUUCAAGAGAGGUGGAUCAAAACUUUUUACACCCAACCAUUUGGUCAAUUGUGCAUUAAAUAUGGCCUAGUAUUUUAGAAAAAUGAUUUGGUCCAAUUUUGCAACAAUUAUUUGGGAGGUCCUUCACAAAAAAACCUCCUUUCGGGCACUCGAAAAAUGGAAAAUGGUUUUUUCGUCCAAAGAAAAUGAAAACUUCCUUAGGCAACAUUGUUUGCCAUUCCAAUAUGCACCCUUGUGCACAAUAUGAGAUCAUUUGAACAAACUAUGCCAUGAAUGUGGCCAUAAGAUUGAUCAUUUGGCUUGAAAGCCAUUCAUCUCCACACGUGAUAGCUCGUUUCUGAGAACACUUUUUUAAAAUAAUUGCCGUACUACAAGUUUGUUAUUUUUCCAGGGAACUUGGCCACAUAUGAUGACACAAUGCGAAGGUUUCCCAAUUUUUUGAUUUUUUGAAUUUUUUAUGCACGUUUCAAAAUGCGGUCAAAACGGCGGGAAUGACCGUUCCUAGCUAGUGGUUGAAUCUUGGAAUUUUUUGGUGUUUCUCUGAUUAAAUAGAUACUUAUGUACCUAGAAAUGAUUUUUGGAAAAAAAUAAAGAGCAAACUACAAGGCAGCUACAGUUGAAAUUUGACCGGCUUCUUGCUGAAUCGAUGGAAAUUUGUCUUUUCAUGAGAGGUGGAUCAAAGCUUCUCACACCAAACCAUUUGGUCAAUAGUGCAUUAAAUAUGUCCUAGUAUUUUAGAAAAUUGAUUUGGUACAAUUUUGCAACAAAUAUUUGGUAGGUCCUUCACAAAAAAGCUUAUUUCGGACACUUGAAAAAUGGAAAAUGGAUUUUUCGUCCACAGAAAAUGAAAACUUCCUUAGGGAACAUUGUUUGCCAUUCCAAUAUGCACCCUUGUGAAAAAUUUGAGAUCAUUUGAACAAACUAUGCCAUGAAUGUGGCCAUAAGAUUGAUCAUUUGGCUUCAAAGCCAUUCAUCUCCACACGUGAUAGCUCGUUUCUGAGAACACUUUUUUGAAAAUAAUUGCCGUAUUACAAGUUUGUUAUUUUUCCUGGGAACUUGGCCACAUAUGAUGACACAAAUGCUAAGGUUUCCCAAUUUUUUGAUUUUUUUUGAAUUUGUUAUGCCCGUUUCAAAAUGCAGUCAAAACGGCGGGAAUGACCGUUCCUAGCUAGUGGUGGAAUCUUGGAAUUUUUUGGUGUUUCUCUGAUUCAAUAGAUACUUAUGUACCUAGAAAUUAUUUUUGUAAAAAAUAAAUAACAAACUAUGAGGCAGCUAUAGUUCAAAUUUGACCCGCUUCCCGCUGAAUCGGCGGAAAUUUGUCUUUUUCAAGAGAGGUGGAUCAAAACUUUUUACACCCAACCAUUUGGUCAAUUGUGCAUUAAAUAUGGCCUAGUAUUUUAGAAAAAUGAUUUGGUCCAAUUUUGCAACAAUUAUUUGUGAGGUCCUUCACAAAAAAACCUCCUUCCGGGCACUCGAAAAAUAGAAAAUGGUUUUUUCGUCCAAAGAAAAUGAAAACUUCCUUAGGCAACAUUGUUUGCCAUUCCAAUAUGCACCCUUGUGCACAAUAUGAGAUCAUUUGAACAAACUAUGCCAUGAAUGUGGCCAUAAGAUUGAUCAUUUGGCUUGAAAGCCAUUCAUCUCCACACGUGAUAGCUCGUUUCUGAGAACACUUUUUUAAAAUAAUUGCCGUACUAGAAGUUUGUUAUUUUUCCAGGGAACUUGGCCACAUAUGAUGACACAAUGCGAAGGUUUCCCAAUUUUUUGAUUUUUUGAAUUUUUUAUGCACGUUUCAAAAUGCGGUCAAAACGGCGGGAAUGACCGUUCCUAGCUAGUGGUUGAAUCUUGGAAUUUUUUGGUGUUUUUCUGAUUAAAUAGAUACUUAUGUACCUAGAAAUGAUUUUUGGAAAAAAAUAAAGAGCAAACUAUGAGGCAGCUACAGUUGAAAUUUGACCGGCUUCUUGCUGAAUCGAUGGAAAUUUGUCUUUUCAUGAGAGGUGGAUCAAAGCUUCUCACACCCAACCAUUUGGUCAAUAGUGCAUUAAAUAUGUCCUAG
rnacentral:lncRNA from 1 species